rnacentral:rRNA from 1 species
UAGAUACCCUGGUAGUCCACGCCCUAAACGAUGCACACUAGUUGUUGCUAUGCUCGACAUAGCAGUAAUGCAGUUAACACAGUAAGUGUGCCGCCUGGGGAGUACGGUCGCAAGAUUAAAACUCAAAGGAAUAGACGGGGACCCGCACAAGCGGUGGAGCAUGUGGUUUAAUUCGACGAUACGCGAAGAACCUUACCUGGCCUUGACAUAGAUAGAACUUUCCAGAGACGGAUUGGUGCUAGUUUACUAGAGCUAUCAUACAGGUGCUGCACGGCUGUCGUCAGCUCGUGUCGUGAGAUGUUGGGUUAAGUCCCGCAACGAGCGCAACCCUCGUGUUUAGUUACUAACAGUUCGGCUGAGGACUCUAAACAGACUGCCUGGGUAACCAGGAGGAAGGUGAGGAUGACGUCAAGUCAUCAUGGCCCUUACGGCCAGGGCUACACACGUGCUACAAUGGGGUAUACAAAGAGCAGCAAUACGGUGACGUGGAGCAAGUCUCAUAAAAUAUCUCCCAGUUCGGAUUGAAGUCUGCAACUCGACUUCAUGAAGUUGGAAUCGCUAGUAAUCGUAGAUCAGCAAUGCUACGGUGAAUACGUUCCCGGGUCUUGUACUCACCGCCCGUCACACCAUGGGAAUUGAAUUCAUUCGAAGCGGGGAUGCUAAAAUAGCUACCUUCCACAGUGGAUUUAGUAACUAGGGUGAAGUCGUAACAAGGUA